ACCACCUGGCCCCAUCCCACUGAUACUCUCCCUUAAAAUAUUUGUACACUUUAAUAAGAUCCCUUAUCUAUCUUUUCCAGUCUAAACAGGCCCAGGCAAUACAAAAGGAAGAAUGUAUUCUGCUCUAUGUUUCAAGGCUCCUCAGACUGUCUGUCCUCCCAGAGCUCCAGAGCACCACAGGAUGAUCUCACCUUGUGCUCAUGAGUCACUGAUUUCAGAAGCUGUGUCUUUCUCCUACCCCUCAGCAAUACACCUGGGCAAAAAGAAGAAUAAUUUCUUAUGCAUCCAGGCAAAGGAGCCAGUAACAUGCAAAUGUGCACACAGAAGAAAAGAGGUGCCUGGAAGUGAAACCGUUUAUGGAUGUGAGGCUUUCCAUUAUCAUAUUUGUGGAUCUACAUUUAACUGAAGAAUCAGACCAUCAAACAUCAUUGCUGUCUUAAUAAACAGUGUGAAGAAUGUACCUUCCUCCGUACCAAGAAUACUAUUAAUAUUGCAUGAAAAUUAUCUACAGAUUGUCUGUUCAUAUAUUCAUGUCUAUGUACACAU